CCUGGUUGUUCCUGCCAGUAGCAUAUGCUUAUCCCAAAGAUUUAGCCAUGCGAGUCUAAGUACACACGGACGGUACAGUGAAACUGCGAAUGGUUCAUUAAAUCAGUUAUGGUUCCUUUGAUCUCUCUGACAUUGCUUGGAUAACUGCGGCAAUUUUAGAGCUAAUACAUGCCAACAAGCACUGACCACCGGGGAUGCGUGCAUUUAUGAGACCCAAAACCCACGCGAGGUCGCCCACCCCCCCACCUCGGGGAGCGCCCCGGCUGCUUUGGUGACUCUAGAUAACCUUGAGCCGAUCGCUGGCCCCCUCGUGGCAGCAACGUCUCAUUCGAAUGUCUGCCUUAUCAACUUUCGAUGGCACUUUCGGCGCCUACCAUGGUGACCACGGGUAACGGGGAAUCAGGGUACGAUUCCGGAGAGGGAGCCUGAGAAACAGCUACCACAUCAAAGGAAGGCAGCAGGCGCGCAAAUUACCCACUCCCGACUCGGGGAGGUAGUGACGAAAAAUAACAAUACAGGACUCUUUCGAGACUCUGUAAUUGAAAUGAGUACACUUUAAAUCCUUUAACGAGGAUCCAUUGGAGAGCAAGCCUGGUGCCAGCAGCCGCGGUAAUUCCAGCUCCAAUAGUGUAUCUUAAAGUUGCUGCAGUUAAAAAGCUCAUAGUUGGAUCUCGGGAUUGAACUGACGGUCCGCUGUGAGGCGAGCCACUGUCUGUUCCAGCCCCUGCCUCUCGGCUCCCCCUUGAUACUCUUAGCUGACUGUCCCGUGGGGUCCGAAGCCUUUACUUUGAAAAAAUAAAGAGUGUUCAAAGCAGGCCCCGGUUGCCCGAAUACCGCAGCUAGGAAUAAUGGAAUAGGACUCCGGUUCUUUCUCUGAACUGGGGCCAUGAUUAAGAGGGACGGCCGGGGGCAUUCGUAUUGUGUCGCUAGAGGUGAAAUACUUGGAUCGUCGCAAGACGGGCGAAAGCAAAAGCAUUUACCAAGAAUGUUUUCAUUAAUCAAGAACGAAAGUCGGAGGUUCGAAGACGAUCAGAUACCGUCGUAGUUCCGACCGUAAACGAUGCCAACUAGCAAUCCGGUGGUGUUAUUCCCAUGACCCGCCGGGCAGCGUCCGAGAAACCAAAGUCUUUGGGUUCCGGGGGGAGUAUGGUUUGCAAAGCUGAAACUUAAAGGAAUUGACGGAAGGGCACCACCAGGAGUGGAGCCUGCGGCUUAAUUUGACUCAACACGGGAAACCUCACCCGGCCCGGACACGGAAAGGAUUGACAGAUUGAUAGCUCUUUCUCGAUUCUGUGGGUGGUGGUGCAUGGCCAUUUGUAGUUGGUGGAGCGAUUUGUCUAGUUAAUUCCGAUAAGGAACGAGACUCCGGCAUUCUAUCUAGUUACACAGCCCCCCGUGCGGUCAGUGUCCAACUUCUUUGAGCGAUAAGUGGCGUUCAGCCACACGUGAUUGAGCAAUAACAGGUCUGUGAUGCGCUUAGAUGUCCGGGGCUGCACUCGCGCCACACUGAGUGGACACAGCGUGUGUUUACCCUUCGCCGAUAACCCGCUGAACCCCACUCGUGACGGGGACUGGGGAUUGCAAUUAUUCCCCACGAACGAGGAAUUCCCAGUAAGCGUGGGUCAUAAGUUCACGUUGAUUAUGUCCCUGCCCUUCGUACAGACCGCCUGUCGCUACUACCGAUUGGAUGGUUUAGUGAGGUCCUCGGAUCAGCCCCGGCGGGGUAGUCGUUCACGGCUCCUGGCUCCGAGCGCCAAGAAGACAGUCGAACUUGACUAUCUAGAGGAAGUAAAAGUCGUAACAAGGUUUCCGUAGGUUCACCUACGGAAA
rnacentral:rRNA from 1 species